GAACCAUGGCGAAGGCAUUGUCUUAGAAUCUCUUUAAAUCUCUCCUAAGCAACAAAAAAUGAUUCAUCCUGUUCUUAUCUAAAUGAGGUGAUAUCAUUCCUCAUUUU